GGAGAUCCCUGUGUAUGUGAGGCCUUCUGAAGGUAACGGAAGGCAAAAACACCUAAGAGAAAAGGACUCUCCUUGUUGCUUCCUCAGCAUGGUUUUCAACAACCAUUUACCUGGAUUUUGCAGAAUGUUGUCCAUGUGCAUGCUGCUCUGAGGGAUUGCAAUGCAAGGUCUCACCGAUGAAGGAUUUGAACUUCUGAAAUCUGCAUUCCACUUCCUGAGCUACGUACUAGCUGUUUGUGUUGUCCAGGGAAUCCACUGAGUUUUCUGUUGCUGCUUCUCAGUUAAUCCCUGUGCCAGGAAAGGGAUGGAAUCCAAACCCAAGAGAACUAGCUGAAAAAGGUCAAGGUAACUUUAUUGCUGUUGGCUGGGCAGCACCUGGGGGUACUAUGAUGCAGAGAACAUCACAUCCAGAACAUCCUAACUCAGCAGUUACAGAGCACUGUGGAGAUAUGGAUCAAUCUGCCUGGACAGAAGGCCAAACCGAUGCUUGGUGUUUCAGAAGCAAAUGCUGCUGGAAGUCCCUGUUUUAUUGACCAUUGAAAUAGUCAUCAAAUGUGGAAUGUGGUGAGUGGGAAUGGCUGUCUACACAUUGCAUGGAGUUGUCUUCUUGAGGAAUAUGAUAUAUAGAUGCAGAUCUCUUCACAGUGGGGAGAGAAAAGGAUCUGCCUAUCUCUUGGCCUGGCUGAUGGCAUGAAAAAAGGAGAUAUGCAAAAUGUGAACGUUUGCAUUUCUCCAUUAGAAUUGAGAAUGUUGGUGUGAAUCUUUUUGAAGUUAUUUGUUUGGAAUUUUCUUAAAUAACAUUUGGGGAAAAUUUCAAACAUUUUGAGACAUUUAAAAAACCAAAGUAACAAACAAAAUGAACAACAACAACAAGAACAGCAACAAAAACCUAAACAACACUCAGAACUUAAAUAGAAGUUAAAAUCAAAACAAGAAACAAAACUUUGGGGUUACCUUGUGGUUACCUAAUUGUGCAUCUGCAUCUAGAAAGGAUAUUUUUUGGUUGUUUUUUUUUGAUAGGAGGUUUAUAAUUUUGCUCACAAGUGCAUUUUUGAUAUAGGCACAAGAGGAACUAAAAAAAAAAAAUUGUCCAAACAUCAUAUACAGGAUUACUUUCAGUAAAAAAUUGUAAUAGGCUAUGCUGCUUUCUCAAAACCUAAAGAUUUAUUGAUUUUUUUAGGCUUUUUUUUUUGUUAAUGUCUUUGGCUUGAUGAUUAUUUUAAAUGAGAGGUCCAGGUAAUUGAAACCGUGUUUUGUAAAAUGUUCGGAGUUUUAUUUUACUUUUCAAGGUUAAGCAAUUUUUUUAAUAUUUAAAUAUUGAUAAGAAAUGGAAUAGUCCCACUGGGAUAGGUGCAACUAUUUAGAUCAAGGACUGAUUGAGAGUGUUAGUAUGUUUUUGAAGCAAAGCGUAUUAAUGUUGGUUGCUCUUUUGUGGUAGUAAUGCUUGAUAAACAAUUUGGCUUUGUUCUUAAAGCCUUCAGCACUGCUGGUCUCUAGUCUGGCUGAGGAAUUCAGAAAGUACUACAAAACAAAUAAGAAAUAACAAAAAAGCUUGAGGGAACAAUCUUCAUGGUAUUAGUUAACUUAGCUUAAUUAACUCACUGUGACAAAAUAUGCUUGAAGAGGAGAGAGACUGAAUAUUGCCUGAAUGCUGAAAAUUCUGCCAUUUGUAGCUGAGGGGUUUGGAGUGUUCAAUAAAGAAGUAACCUACUGUAGUUAGAAUUGUGGACAGCACACUGAAUUAUGGUAAAGUGAUUGCUCACCUAAGGCAGAAAUUGCAUAUGUGGUGAUGCAUGGGGCAGUUCCAGUAGUGGAAUCACUUUUAUGGGCUCAUUAUUGAUACCAUGUACGGGAGCAGCCACAAAGCACCAGCACUGAACCUGGUAUGUUCUCAUAAAACACAUGAAUGAGCAAAAGGAGAGGGACGGAGGCAGAAAAGGACCAUUAGCUGUGCUGGACUUUUGGUGGUAAAACUAUAGUGAUAGAUGCAUAUGGCUCUUCUUUGCUCUGGUGUGAGGAGAAUGUACAUUCUGGAAGUGCACUGGUGUGGCGAUAAGUCUGUUAACUCAAAGAAAAACCACCCAGAAGAGAGCCGUGAUUCAAUAUACUCUGCUGGUGUUGUCCAUUCUCUCCCAAAAGCCUCAUCUUCUACUUCGCUGCCUUUGUUCACGAGGCUAUUAAAAAAAAAAAAGAAAAAUCAAUACAUAAUUUAUCUUCUUACAUACGGCGGAGUUCAAGAAAAUGAAAGAAGCGGGUAACAGCUGAAGGAAAAAUGCAGUGCUUUUGAUAUUGUAAGGAAAAAACAGUUUUUAUAGGAGAAAUCAUAAUGUGCUUUUGCACAUGUUGCUUGCAUAUGAUAGCUGGAUUUAUGCUUGGUACCGCUUUGCAGACGCUUCAGGAAAAAAAAUACAGGAACAGAUGCUCGCUACUAGGAGUGGGAGGUGAUAACACUAACAUUCUUCUAAUCAAGAGCACAAGCCUUAGAGUAUUGAUCCAGAAUGCAAAAAGCACAGAUUCAGGUCUUCCUCCGUCUGAAGGGGCUAUAAAACUUUUGUUUCUUCUCCCAAGGAAAAAUGGAUUAACUGAUCUCCAGAGGCAAGGCUGUAACGUGUUUUCAAAUUCUAUUGACAUUGUUUCAAUGCAUAAACAUAUUU